UCAAAUGCGAUGAAGAGAAGAGUAAGCAGAUCCGUUAUCUCCGCAAGAAAGCAUGCUGCUUUCCUUGCGGCCCGCGUGCAGGCGCAGCCGGUAGGAAGAGGCGGCGCAGCCCGGUCAGAGAGCUCCGGCAGCUGAGAAGGAGCAGAUAGCGAUUUGCCGAAUCAAGCCUCCGAGCUUCACAUCGGAACCUGCCCGGCGGGCGAUGGUGUGACGGGAGCUCCUGUUACAGAGCUGGAGUAUAAGCCUUCCUACCGGGAUUGCCGUACUCGACGAGGCCUGCAUGGCGACAUGGAGGCACAACUGGGGUGGCACCGCGACGACAAGUCUCGCCCCCAAG
rnacentral:ncRNA from 1 species